UGGGGAAUAUUGCACAAUGGGCGCAAGCCUGAUGCAGCCAUGCCGCGUGUGUGAAGAAGGCCUUCGGGUUGUAAAGCACUUUCAGCGGGGAGGAAGGCGGUGAGGUUAAUAACCUCAUCGAUUGACGUUACCCGCAGAAGAAGCACCGGCUAACUCCGUGCCAGCAGCCGCGGUAAUACGGAGGGUGCAAGCGUUAAUCGGAAUUACUGGGCGUAAAGCGCACGCAGGCGGUCUGUCAAGUCGGAUGUGAAAUCCCCGGGCUCAACCUGGGAACUGCAUUCGAAACUGGCAGGCUAGAGUCUUGUAGAGGGGGGUAGAAUUCCAGGUGUAGCAGUGAAAUGCGUAGAGAUCUGGAGGAAUACCGGUGGCGAAGGCGGACCCCUGGACAAAGAAUGACGCUCAGGUGCGAAAGCGUGGGGAGCAAACAGG
rnacentral:rRNA from 1 species